GAUGAACGCUGGCGGCGUGCUUAACACAUGCAAGUCGAACGGAAAGGCCCAAGCUUGCUUGGGUACUCGAGUGGCGAACGGGUGAGUAACACGUGGGUGAUCUGCCCUGCACUUCGGGAUAAGCCUGGGAAACUGGGUCUAAUACCGGAUAGGACCACUUCUUGGAUGUUGUGGUGGAAAGUUUUUUCGGUGUGGGAUGAGCUCGCGGCCUAUCAGCUUGUUGGUGGGGUAAUGGCCUACCAAGGCGUCGACGGGUAGCCGGCCUGAGAGGGUGUACGGCCACAUUGGGACUGAGAUACGGCCCAGACUCCUACGGGAGGCAGCAGUGGGGAAUAUUGCACAAUGGGCGCCAGCCUGAUGCAGCGACGCCGCGUGGGGGAUGACGGCCUUCGGGUUGUAAACUCCUUUCGCUAGGGACGAAGCGUUUUGUGACGGUACCUGGAGAAGAAGCACCGGCUAACUACGUG
rnacentral:rRNA from 1 species